rnacentral:rRNA from 1 species
CAAUAGCUGAGGAAAAAGGAACCAACCGGGAUUGCCUUAGUAACGGCGAGUGAAGCGGCAAAAGCUCAAAUUUGAAAUCUAGUACCUUCGGUGCUCGAGUUGUAAUUUGUAGAGGGAUACUUUGGGGCCGUCUCUUAUCUAUGUUCCUUGGAACAGGACGUCAUAGAGGGUGAGAAUCCCGUAUGAUGAGAGUCGCGGUUCUUUGUAAAGUUCCUUCGAAGAGUCGAGUUGUUUGGGAAUGCAGCUCUAAGUGGGUGGUAAAUUCCAUCUAAAGCUAAAUAUUGGCGAGAGACCGAUAGCGAACAAGUACAGUGAUGGAAAGAUGAAAAGAACUUUGAAAAGAGAGUGAAAAAGUACGUGAAAUUGUUGAAAGGGAAGGGCAUUUGAUCAGACAUGGUGUUUUGCGCCCUCUGCUCCUUGUGGGUGGGGGAAUCUCGCAGCUCACUGGGCCAGCAUCAGUUUUGGCGGUAGGAUAAAUCCAUAGGAAUGUGGCUUGCUUCGGUAAGUGUUAUAGCCUGUGGGAAUACUGCCAGCCGGGACUGAGGACUGCGACAUUCGUCAAGGAUGCUGGCAUAAUGGUUAUAUGCCGCCCGUCUAA